rnacentral:pre_miRNA from 1 species
ACCUUGGCUCUAGACUGCUUACUGCGAAAUCCAAGGGGCGAAACAGUAACAGUCCACAGUCAUGGCUA